AACGUAGGGGGCCAGCGUUGCUCGGAAUUACUGGGCGUAAAGGGUCCGUAGGCGGUGUGGCAAGUCGGUAGUGAAAUCUCUGGGCUUAACUCAGAGGCUGCUUCCGAAACUGCUGUGCUAGAGUGCGAGAGAGGCGAGUGGAAUUGCGGGUGUAGCGGUGAAAUGCGUAGAUAUCCGCAGGAACAUCCGAGGCGAAAGCGGCUCGCUGGAUCGCAACUGACGCUGAGGGACGAAAGCUAGGGGAGCAAACAGG
rnacentral:rRNA from 1 species